rnacentral:rRNA from 1 species
AUUGAACGCUGGCGGCAGGCCUAACACAUGCAAGUCGAGCGGAGCGGCGGACGGGUGAGUAAUGCCUAGGAAUCUGCCUGGUAGUGGGGGAAAACGUCCUGAAACGGGCGCUAAUACCUCAUGCUCUUAGAUUAGCCUAGGUCGGAUUAGCUAGUUGGUGGGGUAAAGGCCUACCAAGGCGACGAUCCGUAACUGGUCUGAGAGGAUGAUCAGUCCCACUGGGACUGAGACACGGUCCAAGCUCCUACGGGAGGCAGCAGUGGGGAAUAUUGGACAAUGGGCGAAAACCUGAUCCAGACAUGCCACGUGUGUGAAGAAGGUAUUCGGAUUGUAAAGCACUUUAAGUUGGGAGGCGUUACCAACAGAAUAAGCAACGGCUAACUACGUGCCAGCAGCCGCGGUAAUUC